UACAGAGGGGGCAAGCGUUGUUCGGAAUUACUGGGCGUAAAGGGCGCGUAGGCGGCCUGUUAAGUCAGACGUGAAAUCCCUCGGCUCAACCGGGGAACUGCGUCUGAUACUGGCGGGCUUGAAUUCGGGAGAGGGAUGUGGAAUUCCAGGUGUAGCGGUGAAAUUCGUAGAUAUCGAGAGGAACACCGGUGGCGAAGGCGGCCUUCUGGACAGUGACUGACGCUGAGGAGCGAAAGCCAGGGGAGCAAACGGG
rnacentral:rRNA from 1 species